GAAUUUUGUAAUAAAAAUGAAGUGUUUGUCUGUUAGUUUAUGUUUUGAUUGUUUCCAUUUAAAAAAUUAUUCAGUGUUGUCCACGUACUAGUUGUUAUAUAAAAAUUGUUGUCCUCCUUACGGUGUCUAGUAGCGACAUUUUAUCCUCCAACCAUUAUACAUAUUUAACUUACUAUUUUUUUUUUAGAUGGCAGUACAGCAGAUCAUUCAAUACAUGCCGAGACAUGAAUUCACAUUUCUACCACUAUGCUAAAUAUCAAUAUCCUACGUUGAAAAUGUACUAGACGAUACUGCUAAUAACAAGGGUUUUGUGCAACGUGCGUGUAAUGGAUGGCAGUACAGCAGAUCACUCAAUACAUGCUGAGACAUGAAUUCACAUUUCUACCACUAUGCAAAACAUCAACAUCCUACGUUGAAAAUGGACUAGACAGUACUGCUAAUAAUAAUGGUUUUGUGCAACGUGCGUGUAAUGGAUGGCAGUACUGCAGAUCACUGGAGGCAUGCUGAGACAUGAAUUAACAUUUCUAUCACUUGGGAAAGUUACAACAUUUUCCGUUGAAAAUGGAAUAGAAG